ACGCUCGACACCUACGGGGGCAGCAGUGGGGAAUAUUGCACAAUGGGGGAAACCCUGAUGCAGCGACGCCGCGUGGAGGAAGAAGGUCUUCGGAUUGUAAACUCCUGUUGUUGGGGAAAAAGAGGAUGGUACCCAACAAGGAAGUGACGGCUAACUACGUACCACGCAGCCGCCGGUAAUACUGAGCGGGCGUGGCGAAGGACG
rnacentral:rRNA from 1 species